rnacentral:rRNA from 1 species
UACAGAGGUCUCAAGCGUUGUUCGGAUUCAUUGGGCGUAAAGGGUGCGUAGGUGGCGCUGUAAGUCGGGUGUGAAAUUUCGGAGCUUAACUCCGAAACUGCAUUCGAUACUGCGGUGCUUUGAGGACUGGAGAGGAGACUGGAAUUUACGGUGUAGCAGUGAAAUGCGUAGAGAUCGUAAGGAAGACCAGUGGCGAAGGCGGGUCUCUGGACAGUUCCUGACACUGAGCACGAAGGCCAGGGGAGCGAAACGGG